rnacentral:lncRNA from 10 species
GCGGUUUGGUGCCUGGCACAUAAUAGGGACUUCAUAGACAGUUGUUACUAUUAUUACCUCUUCCCCCACAUUUGGGGUUUGGCAGAGGGAUGUAUUGGCUACAUGGUCAUUAAGGAUCUGUUAAGCACCUCCUAUGCACGAGGGAGAUCACAUGGUAUGGUCCAAGAGUCUUGGAGUUAGAUGUGGGGUUGAAUCCUGGCCCUGUCACUUCAUAGCUGUGUGUGACCUUGUAAAAUUCUGUCUCCUCUCUGAGCUGAAGUUCCCCCACAGGAAAAUAGGGACCGUAAUGCCCAUCUUCCGGGGCCAAUGCUGGAUUCAAUGAGAUAAUGUACAGGGAGUGCCCAGGGCAGUUCUCAGCACACAAUAGUGCCUCUCAGUAAAUAAGAGACGCAGGAUGGAGAGGACAGGCUCAGUUUCUGCUACAGAAGAGCUCUGGGCAGAGCAGCUCAGAACACUUAUCACACCUUUCUCCUUGACCCUCACCUCUCUGGAAGAUUAGAAGCAGAAGAUUUAUUGGAUCAACUUCUCAGCUGUGGAAUCUGAGCAAACAGAAGGGAAGUGGCUGAGGUAAGACACCCCUGGCAGCCCUUGGUGAAUGUUGCAACUGGUCUGGGGCACUUGCCCUGUCCCCAAGGGGGUCUGUGUGUACCACAGGGUCUGCUGUCCAGAUGGCUGCAUGGGGCAUGGGGAGCAGGCAAGGGCUACACAAUAGAAAGGUAAGAAAGUGCACUGACUUUAUUUUCAGGCAAUGCGGGUUAGGAUUCUACCUCCUACUGCAUGCUCCUGCACGCAUUGUCCCAUCUUUUUGCAUCCUGGGUUCCUCUUCCAUAAAAUGGGCACAGUACUCCUCACCUCCCAGUCCCCUUGCCUUACCAUUGUCCUUACCACUCGAUUGGACAUAUUUCAGAGACAGCCUUACCCUCUGUUACUUAACGGUUUCAGCUCCCCAAACUAGAUCACACGACUUCAUGGGCUAGAGCUGUGUCUCCGGAGAGGUCAGGGACCCCAGGAAGCUAACAGCACUGGGGCCCUGCCAUCGUCACUUUUGAACUCGCAGCACCUGGCACACUGUGUUGCACAUGGAAGGUACAAAAUAAUAGUUACAGAAUGAAUGAAGGAAACUAUGGAUGAGGGAGCCGAGGGUCAGAAAGGUGAAGUGUCCUGCCAUGGGCCAUAUGACCCAUUAAUACCUGGCAAGCACUGUGCCGUCCACUUUCUUCUUUAUCAAGGGCAAAUGGUGAGGAGAAAACACAGCCAAGCAUACUGGCUCAUGAAGUCUCGUGUUUUCCAGGGAAAGUCCCAUUUCACAUCUGUUUUCUCUUACGAUUAUAAUAAUGCCCACUUUUACUAUCAAAAGUGUCCCUUUUUUUUCUUAAAGAUAUGGACUGCUUCACGAAUUUGCGUGUCAUC